UGCAGGGAUGUGGCAUUGGUGGAGUGCAGAGUCAUGGCUGAAGUGAAGAGAAGGGCUGAAGGAGUGUGGCAGUUAUGAGGGAGCAGGAGCAUGGCUAGAUGAGAGGAACAAGACCAAAAGGAAGGAAUGGGGUAUGGUUAUGGUGGAAAGGGAGUGACCAUGGACAACACAGGAGAUAACCAGGAAAGUGGUCUUAGAGGGAAAAGAAUGGUGGGUGAAGGAGGGGACAUGGUUACAAAAGAGAGCAUUUGCCAAAGCCCAGUAGGUAGGGGCAUGGCUUUAUGAUGUAAUGGGUUGGAGAAGGCAUGUUUAUGAUGGAGCAUGAGGAAUGAAGCCCAAGGAGCAUGGAUGUGAACACAGCUGAGUUCAAGAGACCCAGCCUGGCCACAAUAAAAGGACAGUAGGAGCUCUUCAACAAUGCUGGAUCACUUAUGUAUGUAGUGUUCCUGGUGUAUAUGUGUGCAGGUGUGUCCUCGUUUGAAUCUACGCAGUAUACAUUAUUGAUUUCAGACACGUCUGGUCACAUGUGACACACUGGUGGGAAAAUCCACGCCACAGAAAUGUCUCCUUACAUGGAAGCAUGAGGUACAUCAUGAGACUGAUGUUAGCCAUGGAUUUGGUCUACGAAGAAUGCCUCUGGUGGACAAAAGCCGGCAUGUUCCUGCUUCCUGGUAGCGGUCAAUCUGGUCCAUGACAUGGGAGUCGUGCCAGAAGCACUGGCAGCUCUGAGGGCACCGGAGAGCCAUCUGUGCCCUCCAGGGAGAAGACUGAGGACCAAGCACCAACAUCUGAGGACCAAGCACCAACAUCUGACACCUUUCCUCCACCUCCCUUCCCAGAUCCUGCCUUAACAUAUUCCUCUCUUCCAUUUUCUAAGCUCUCUUUUGAGAUUGAUGAGGGAGAAAAUAAAUCUCAAGAAACAACGGAUACCAUUGUCUAAGUAUUUCCAGAAAUGACUGAUUAGUAGCAACUCUGCCAAACCGAAAAUGAUCAUAGUUUUUGGCACUCGCCAAAGUUUAUGUGGACAACACUAAACAAUUUCACCCUUGCAUGAGAAAAGAUCCAAAGAUAAUUCUUAAGGAAAAAUCUGACCUCAACAUCAGGCAUCCCAUGACCCUUCUCCUGGGAAGGUGCUUCACUUUCUAUGUGAACGUGGAGUUGGGUCAGCUGCACAGACUUGCUCACACGUGCCCCUCAUUGUAUGGCUGGGAUUCAAAACAUAAGGGGUUUACCUUCAGGCAGGGGCUUGCCAUUGAAUCUGUCUCACAUAGCAGUUAAAAGCCCAGCUCUGGCAUCGGGCUACUGAGAUUUCAAACACUGGCUUAUUGACUGUAGGAAAAUAUAAUAAAA